rnacentral:rRNA from 1 species
UACGGAGGAUGCGAGCGUUAUCCGGAUUUAUUGGGUUUAAAGGGUGCGUAGGUGGGUUUUUAAGUCAGUGGUGAAAGUUUGUUGCUCAACGAUAAAAUUGCCAUUGAAACUGGGAACCUUGAAUAUGUUUGAGGUAGGCAGAAUGCGUGGUGUAGCGGUGAAAUGCAUAGAUAUCACGCAGAACUCCAAUUGCGAAGGCAGCUUACUAAACCAUAACUGACACUGAAGCACGAAAGCGUGGGUAUCAAAC